rnacentral:rRNA from 1 species
UACGUAGGGGGCUAGCGUUGUCCGGAUUUAUUGGGCGUAAAGAGCUCGUAGGUGGUUCGGUAAGUCUGAUGUGAAAGCCCACGGCUCAACCGUGGAGGGUCAUUGGAAACUGGGGGACUUGAGUACAGAAGAGAAGAGUGGAAUUCCACGUGUAGCGGUGAAAUGCGUAGAGAUGUGGAGGAGCACCAGUGGCGAAGGCGACUCUUUGGUCUGUAACUGACGCUGAGGCGCGAAAGCGUGGGGAGCAAACAGG